GAUGAACGCUGGCGGCGUGCCUAAUACAUGCAAGUCGAGCGAACAGACGCGGAUCUUGCUCCUCUGACGUUAGCGGCGGACGGGUGAGUAACACGUGGAUCACCUACCUAUAAGACUGGGAUAACUUCGGGAAACCGGAGCUAAUACCGGAUAAUAUAUUGAACCGCAUGGUUCAAUAGUGAAAGACGGUUUUGCUGUCACUUAUAGAUGGAUCCGCGCCGCAUUAGCUAGUUGGUAAGGUAACGGCUUACCAAGGCAACGAUGCGUAGCCGACCUGAGAGGGUGAUCGGCCACACUGGAACUGAGACACGGUCCAGACUCCUACGGGAGGCAGCAGUAGGGAAUCUUCCGCAAUGGGCGAAAGCCUGACGGAGCAACGCCGAGUGAGUGAUGAAGGUCUUCGGAUCGUAAAACUCUGUUAUUAGGGAAGAACAAAUGUGUAAGUAACUAUGCACGUCUUGACGGUAACUAAUCAGAAAGCCACGGCUAACUACGUG
rnacentral:rRNA from 1 species